rnacentral:rRNA from 1 species
UACGGAGGGUGCAAGCGUUAUCCGGAUUUAUUGGGUUUAAAGGGUCCGUAGGCGGAUCUGUAAGUCAGUGGUGAAAUCUCAUAGCUCAACUAUGAAACUGCCAUUGAUACUGCAGGUCUUGAGUAAGGUAGAAGUAGCUGGAAUAAGUAGUGUAGCGGUGAAAUGCAUAGAUAUUACUUAGAACACCAAUUGCGAAGGCAGGUUACUAUGUCUUAACUGACGCUGAUGGACGAAAGCGUGGGGAGCGAACAGG